AACGAACGCUGGCGGCAGGCCUAACACAUGCAAGUCGAGCGAGGACUUCGGUUCUAGCGGCGGACGGGUGAGUAACGCGUGGGAAUGUGCCCUUCUCUACGGAAUAGCCCUGGGAAACUGGGAGUAAUACCGUAUACGCCCUAUUGGGGAAAGAUUUAUCGGAGAAGGAUCAGCCCGCGUUGGAUUAGGUAGUUGGUGGGGUAAUGGCCUACCAAGCCGACGAUCCAUAGCUGGUUUGAGAGGAUGAUCAGCCACACCGGGACUGAGACACGGCCCAGACUCCUACGGGAGGCAGCAGUGGGGAAUCUUAGACAAUGGGGGCAACCCUGAUCUAGCCAUGCCGCGUGAGUGAUGAAGGCCUUAGGGUUGUAAAGCUCUUUCAGCUGGGAAGAUAAUGACGGUACCAGCAGAAGAAGCCCCGGCUAACUCCGUG
rnacentral:rRNA from 1 species